CAGACUGACCGUCGCCCUCCGGCCCCCAGGUGAAGCUGACGUGCGGCAAAGAGACCGUGGUCACGUCCACCACUGAGCCGAGCCGCUGCGAGUACCUGAUGGAGCUGGUGACGCCGGCCGCUUGCCAGGAGCCCCGCGACCCUGGUGCCGCCGACCACGACGAGCUGUGAGGGGCCAGGAGAGCCAGAGUCUCUCUCCUGCGGCCCCACCUCCCAACCAGGCCAUUCCAGGGGGUGGCUGAGUGACUUUCCUCUCCCAGCCCCGAUCCGGACCUCACCACUGCCCAUGGCUGUGCCCGCCCCCCACUGGGAUCUCCCAGCUGCCCAGAAAGACGCCCAUGGCCCGCCAGCUGCCUUUUCCACACCAGAAUGUGAGUCGUGCCUGACGCCCGCCAGGCAGCUGCCAGGCUGCCUCCACUGGAUUCCCCGUCAGCCUGGCACAAGUCCCUGGCAGUGCCACCGACGUCCUGGGUGAUCUUCCGUGAGCAGCUCUGCUCGGGGCACUGCCCGUGUACCCAGUGACUCGGGGGUCCGGUCACCGGCAGAGGGUCCCAAGGCCAAGAACUUCCAUGCCAUGAGGGCGCCCCCCCUUUCACCCCAGGAGCUGCCCCCCGCCCCCAGCCCCUGCGUCGACUGAGCCAGGCAGGGAGGCCGGGGGCGGGGAGGCACUCAGGGGUCGCGACCCCCAGCCAGCGUUGGGGGAGCGAGCGGAGAGAACACACGUCAAGGAUUUCCAUCCCAAUAAAGGACGUUUCUCCCCA